AUUGAACGCUGGCGGAAUGCUUUACACAUGCAAGUCGAACGGCAGCACGGGUGCUUGCACCUGGUGGCGAGUGGCGAACGGGUGAGUAAUACAUCGGAACGUACCCAGUUGUGGGGGAUAACGAGUCGAAAGAUUCGCUAAUACCGCAUACGACCUGAGGGUGAAAGCGGGGGACCGUAAGGCCUCGCGCAAUUGGAGCGGCCGAUGUCUGAUUAGCUAGUUGGUGGGGUAAAGGCUCACCAAGGCGACGAUCAGUAGCUGGUCUGAGAGGAUGAUCAGCCACACUGGAACUGAGACACGGUCCAGACUCCUACGGGAGGCAGCAGUGGGGAAUUUUGGACAAUGGGGGAAACCCUGAUCCAGCCAUUCCGCGUGAGUGAUGAAGGCCCUAGGGUUGUAAAACUCUUUUACUAGGGAUGAUAAUGACAGUACCUGGAGAAUAAGCUCCGGCUAACUCCGUGCCAGCAGCCGCGGUAAU
rnacentral:rRNA from 1 species